CCUACGGGAGGCAGCAGUGAGGAAUAUUGGUCAAUGGACGAGAGUCUGAACCAGCCAAGUAGCGUGAAGGAUGACUGCCCUAUGGGUUGUAAACUUCUUUUAUCUGGGAAUAACACAGGGUAUGCAUACCCUCUUGUAUGUAACAUAUAGAUAAGGCUCGGCUAACUCCGUGCCAGCAGCCGCGGUAAUACGGAGGAUCCGAGCGUUAUCCGGAUUUAUUGGGUUUAAAGGGAGGUGUGGUGGGUUGUUAAAUCAGUUGUGAAAGUUGGCGGCUCAACCGUAAAAUUGCAGUUGAAACUGGCAGUCUUGAGUACAGUAGAGGUAGGCGGAAUUCGUGGUGUAGCGGUGAAAUGCUUAGAUAUCACGAAGAACUCCGAUUGCGAAGGCAGCUCACUGGACUGCAACUGACACAGAUGCUCGAAAGUGUGGGUAUCAAACAGGAUUAGAUACCCGUGUAGUC
rnacentral:rRNA from 1 species